GCGUGUUUUGGUUAAAUUCAAAGCCAAGCAGCUGCAGAAUAAAGUCAGGAAGUCACCCUUCUGUUGCUUGAAAUGAAACAAGAAGAAAGUCCAGCCAAGAGCAACUCCUCCAACAAAAACAGUGUGAGCCACCGGCGGGAUCAGCGAGAAGUUCACAGCCUGAGACAUGACUCUUGGAAACAUCCUGUCCCAUCCCCGUAGCCAGUGGCAAUUGAAGUUGGCAUGGAAACAGAACCCAAGCAGCGCCGCCCGAGUCUGGGCCCAGUCAAUGCUGUCAAGCUGUGGAGCAUGUUGUAUUGGAUCUAAUGCCACAGUAAAUCCCUCAACCGAUGUGAUGGAGGUAUCUUGUCAUGUGCCCUGUCCCUUUGUCCUGAGCUUUUCCCAUCAUGCUUUGCUGAAUGAGGUAUUUGGUGUGAAGGAAACAGGAAAAUCAAGGUAAUAAUAUAAUAGUUAUAUAUGCUAUUAUUACGCUUUUUUCAAUAAAGCUGUCAUUUUGUCAAAUUAUGCA
ensembl:lncRNA